rnacentral:rRNA from 1 species
AGUGAACGCUGGCGGUAGGCCUAACACAUGCCAGUCGAACGGCAGCACAGUAAGAGCUUGCUCUUACGGGUGGCGAGUGGCGGACGGGUGAGGAAUACAUCGGAAUCUACUUUUUCGUGGGGGAAACGUAGGGAAACUUACGCUAAUACCGCAUACGACCUACGGGUGAAAGCAGGGGAUCUUCGGACCUUGCGCGAUUGAAUGAGCCGAUGUCGGAUUAGCUAGUUGGCGGGGUAAAGGCCCACCAAGGCGACGAUCCGUAGCUGGUCUGAGAGGAUGAUCAGCCACACUGGAACUGAGACACGGUCCAGACUCCUACGGGAGGCAGCAGUGGGGAAUAUUGGACAAUGGGCGCAAGCCUGAUCCAGCCAUACCGCGUGGGUGAAGAAGGCCUUCGGGUUGUAAAGCCCUUUUGUUGGGAAAGAAAAGCAGCAGGUUAAUACCCCGCUGUUCUGACGGUACCCAAAGAAUAAGCACCGGCUAACUUCGUG